rnacentral:rRNA from 1 species
UACGUAGGGUGCGAGCGUUGUCCGGAAUUAUUGGGCGUAAAGAGCUCGUAGGCGGUCUGUCGCGUCGGUCGUGAAAACUUGGGGCUUAACCCUGAGCUUGCGGUCGAUACGGGCAUGACUGGAGUUCGGCAGGGGAGACUGGAAUUCCUGGUGUAGCGGUGAAAUGCGCAGAUAUCAGGAGGAACACCGGUGGCGAAGGCGGGUCUCUGGGCCGAUACUGACGCUGAGGCGCGAAAGCGUGGGGAGCGAACAGG